GGUGAUGCCAGUACUCUCUUGGCUGCUCCAGCAGCACCCAGAGAUGCUCUCCUGAGGCCCAGACCACCACUGCCAGCCAUGGAGGAGGAGUGGCGUUGGCGAUUCAGGACUGCUUUUUCUGUCUCUUCAGUGCCUCUCUCAGCAACAUGAAGGUAAAAACCAGGCCCUGCACUCAGUGGAUCAACUGACACCACCCAGACUAGUAACGUGGCUCAAUCAGUUCUGCCAUCCCACCCAGGAACAGAAGACAGCAAGAAAAACUCACUUCGACUCCCUGUGAUUCCAUCUCCAACCUGACCAAUCAGCACUCCCCACUUGCCAAGCCCCUACCUGCCAGAUUAUCUUUAAAAACUCUGAUCCCCGAAUUCCCAGGGGAGACUGAUUUGAGUAAUAAUAAAACU
rnacentral:lncRNA from 10 species